rnacentral:rRNA from 1 species
GACGAACGCUGGCGGCGUGCUUAACACAUGCAAGUCGAACGGUAAGGCCCUUCGGGGUACACGAGUGGCGAACGGGUGAGUAACACGUGGGUGAUCUGCCCUGCACUUCGGGAUAAGCCUGGGAAACUGGGUCGAAUACCGGAUAGGACCACUGCCUGCAUGGGCGGUGGGGGAAAGCUUUUGCGGUGUGGGAUGGGCCCGCGGCCUAUCAGCUUGUUGGUGGGGUGAUGGCCUACCAAGGCGACGACGGGUAGCCGGCCUGAGAGGGUGACCGGCCACACUGGGACUGAGAUACGGCCCAGACUCCUACGGGAGGCAGCAGUGGGGAAUAUUGCACAAUAGGCGCAAGCCUGAUGCAGCGACGCCGCGUGAGGGAUGACGGCCUUCGGGUUGUAAACCUCUUUCAGCACCGACGAAGCGCAAGUGACGGUAGGUGCAGAAGAAGGACCGGCCAACUACGUGCCAGCCGCCGCCGUAA